rnacentral:rRNA from 1 species
GAUGAACGCUCGCUACAGGCUUAACACAUGCAAGUCGAGGGGAAACGGCAUUGAGUGCUUGCACUCUUUGGACGUCGACCGGCGCACGGGUGAGUAACGCGUAUCCAACCUUCCCAUUACUGUGGGAUAACCUGCCGAAAGGCAGACUAAUACCGCAUAGUCUUCGAUGACGGCAUCAGAUUUGAAGUAAAGAUUUAUCGGUAAUGGAUGGGGAUGCGUCUGAUUAGCUUGUUGGCGGGGUAACGGCCCACCAAGGCUACGAUCAGUAGGGGUUCUGAGAGGAAGGUCCCCCACAUUGGAACUGAGACACGGUCCAAACUCCUACGGGAGGCAGCAGUGAGGAAUAUUGGUCAAUGGACGGAAGUCUGAACCAGCCAAGUAGCGUGCAGGAUGACGGCCCUAUGGGUUGUAAACUGCUUUUGUAUGGGGAUAAAGUUAGGGACGUGCCCCUAUUUGCAGGUACCAUACGAAUAAGGACCGGCUAAUUCCGUG